UUUAUGUUGUUUAUAGUAUUAUCAAGUAAGUAGUAGUUAAAGUAAUUUUUUAACUAGCUUUGACUUGUAGUCAAAACUGAGAGGUUUAUUGACCACAUUGGGUCUGAAAAAACCCCAAUAUGUACAGUACAGCAGUGAGGAAUAUUGGUCAAUGGCCUAACGGCUGAACCAGCUAUUUGGUGGAAUGUAAUCGUUUUACGUGCAUGUGUACAGUAAUGUACUGUGUAUCAACUCUGUUGAAUAAAAUUCUGAAUAGAUAAUUAAUAAUGACAAACAUCUGUUCAUAUGUCUUGACCAAUGCUUGUGCCAGCAGUCGCGGCAACACAAGUAAGACUAGUGUUAUUCAUCUUUAUUAGGUUUAAAGCGUACCUAGACGGCAUCUUUUUCUUAUCGUCAAUGAAAGAAAGUUUGCUAGAGUUUUAUGUGAGAGGUAGAUAUUAGGACUAUUGGUGUAGAGAUGAAAUUUUUUGAUACUAAUAGGAUGUGUAAUGGCGAAGGCAACCCUCUAUGUACAAACUGACGUUAAGGGACGAAGGCUUGGGGAGCGAAUAGGAUUAGAUACCCUAGUAGUCCAGGCAGAAAAUUAUGAAUGUUAUAUACUAAAUAAACACUUGGUGUAUAAAUGAAAGUGCAAGCAUUCCACCUCAAGAGUAGUGUGGCAACACAGGAACUGAAAUCAUUAGACCGUUUCUGAAACCAGUAGUGAAGUAUGUUAUUUAAUUCGAUAACCCUCGAAAAACCUUACCACAAUUUGAAUAAUGUUUAAUUCCUCUUUUUGAGGAAAAAAAAUGAACAUUACAGGCGUUGCACGGCUGUCUAAAGCUAAUGUCGUGAGAUUUUGGUUAGAUCCAUUAAAUUAGCGUAACCCCUUGCUUUAUUUAUCCCAUCUUUUGGACUAAUAAG
rnacentral:rRNA from 1 species